rnacentral:rRNA from 1 species
CCUACGGGUGGCAGCAGUGGGGAAUAUUGCACAAUGGGGGGAACUCUGAUGCAGCGACGCCGCGUGAGUGAAGAAGUACUUCGUUAUGUAAAGCUCUAUCAGCAGGGAAGAACGUGACGUUUCCUAAAAAAAAAGCUCCUGCGAAAUACGUGCCAGCAGCCGCGGUAAUACGUAUGGAGCAAGCGUUCGCCGGAUUUAAUGGGUGUAAAGUGAGAGUGGGUGGCAGAGCAAGUCCGAAGUGAAAACCCAAAGCCCAACUAUGGGAAUGCUUUAGAAACUGCGCAGCUAGAGUGCAGGAGAGGAAAGCGGAAUUCUUAGUGUAGCGGUGAAAUGCGUAGAUAUUAGGAGGAACACCAGUGGCGAAGGCGGCUUGCUGGACAGUAACUGACACUGAGGCUCGAAAGCGUGGGGAGCAAACAGGAUUAGAUACCCCAGGAGUC